rnacentral:ncRNA from 2 species
AAAUGAAUGCAGGGGAACUAAUUAAGUUGAGAAGGAAGCGUACACAGCUGUCAAUCCUGACCCUUUGAACCUGUCGGUUAAAACCGUCGUAGGGAGCAAAAUGACAAAGUAU